CGCUGGCGGCGUGCUUAGCACAUGCAAGUCGAACGGUAAGGCCCUUCGGGGUACACGAGUGGCGAACGGGUGAGUAACACGUGGGUGAUCUGCCCUGCACUUCGGGAUAAGCUUGGGAAACUGGGUCUAAUACCGGAUAGGACCACGGUCUGCAUGGAUUGUGGUGGAAAGCUUUUGCGGUGUGGGAUGGGCCCGCGGCCUAUCAGCUUGUUGGUGGGGUGAUGGCCUACCAAGGCGACGACGGGUAGCCGGCCUGAGAGGGUGUCCGGCCACACUGGGACUGAGAUACGGCCCAGACUCCUACGGGAGGCAGCAGUGGGGAAUAUUGCACAAUGGGCGCAAGCCUGAUGCAGCGACGCCGCGUGGGGGAUGACGGCCUUCGGGUUGUAAACCUCUUUCAGCAUCGACGAAGCGCAAGUGACGGUAGAUGCAGAAGAAGCACCGGCCAACUACGUG
rnacentral:rRNA from 1 species